rnacentral:rRNA from 2 species
UUUAUAUGAGAGUUUGAUCCUGGCUCAGGAUGAACGCCGGCGGUGUGCCUAAUACAUGCAAGUCGUACGCACUGGCCCAACUGAUUGAUGGUGCUUGCACCUGAUUGACGAUGGAUCACCAGUGAGUGGCGGACGGGUGAGUAACACGUAGGCAACCUGCCCCGGAGCGGGGGAUAACAUUUGGAAACAGAUGCUAAUACCGCAUAACAACAAAAGUCACAUGGCUUUUGUUUGAAAGAUGGCUUUGGCUAUCACUCUGGGAUGGACCUGCGGUGCAUUAGCUAGUUGGUAAGGUAACGGCUUACCAAGGCGAUGAUGCAUAGCCGAGUUGAGAGACUGAUCGGCCACAAUGGAACUGAGACACGGUCCAUACUCCUACGGGAGGCAGCAGUAGGGAAUCUUCCACAAUGGGCGCAAGCCUGAUGGAGCAACACCGCGUGAGUGAAGAAGGGUUUCGGCUCGUAAAGCUCUGUUGUUGGAGAAGAACGUGCGUGAGAGUAACUGUUCACGCAGUGACGGUAUCCAACCAGAA